rnacentral:RNase_MRP_RNA from 12 species
GGCCUGGGGAAAUUCCCCGGACACUGGGGCCGAGAGGGCCAGCCCGAGCGGGCGUGGCUCCCGGGCCCGCGUCAGCGAAGAUGCCCCCUCGGGGGCGGAGCGUUACGGCGCUGGGCGCCGGGAUGUUCCACUUGUCACAGCACAGUUAUGCGACCAGGCCUCGCCCCCCCGGGGUCGAGGCCCAACACAACGGGGGUUAC